rnacentral:rRNA from 1 species
CAGNGGCUCAACCAUUGUAGGCUUUGGAAACUGUUUAACUUGAGUGCAGAAGGGGAGAGUGGAAUUCCAUGUGUAGCGGUGAAAUGCGUGGAUAUAUGGAGGAACACCGGUGGCGGAAGCGGCUCUCUGGUCUGUAACUGACGCUGAGGCUCGAAAGCGUGGGGAGCGAACAGGAUUAGAUACCCNUGGUAGUCCGCGCCGUAAACGAUGAGUGCUAGGUGUUAGGUCCUUUCCGGGACUUAGUGCCGCAGCUAACGCAUUAAGCACUCCGCCUGGGGAGUACGACCGCAAGGUUGAAACUCAAAGGAAUUGACGGGGGCCCGCACAAGCGGUGGAGCAUGUGGUUUAAUUCGAAGCAACGCGAAGAACCUUACCAGGUCUUGACAUCCCGAUGCCCGCUCUAGAGAUAGAGCUUUACUUCGGUACAUCGGUGACAGGUGGUGCAUGGUUGUCGUCAGCUCGUGUCGUGAGAUGUUGNNNNAANNNNNGCAACGAGCGCAACCCUUAUUGUUAGUUGCCAUCAUUCAGUUGGGCACUCUAGCGAGACUGCCGGUAAUAAACCGGAGGAAGGUGGGGAUGACGUCAAAUCAUCAUGCCCCUUAUGACCUGGGCUACACACGUGCUACAAUGGCUGGUACAACGAGUCGCAAGCCGGUGACGGCAAGCUAAUCUCUGAAAGCCAGUCUCAGUUCGGAUUGUAGGCUGCAACUCGCCUACAUGAAGUCGGAAUCGCUAGUAAUCGCGGAUCAGCACGCCGCGGUGAAUACGUUCCCGGGCCU